UGCAAGUCGAACGAGAAUCGGUCCUUCGGGGCCGAGGAAAGUGGCGCACGGGUGCGUAACACGUGGGUAAUCAACCCCCCAGAUUGGGACAACCCGGGGAAACUCGGGCUAAUACCGGAUACGUCGUCCGGGACUUCGGUCCUGGCCGAGAAAGGUCCGCAAGGGCCACUGGGGGACGAGCUCGCGGCCCAUCAGCUUGUUGGUGAGGUAAUGGCUCACCAAGGCGAAGACGGGUAGCUGGUCUGAGAGGAUGAUUCAGCCACACUGGAACUGAGACACGGUCCAGACUCCUACGGGAGGCAGCAGUGGGGAAUAUUGCGCAAUGGGCGAAAGCCUGACGCAGCCACGCCGCGUGAGCGAUGAAGGUCUUCGGAUCGUAAAGCUCUGUGGGGGGAGAAGAAUCAAGCCGGUGAAGAGCCGGC
rnacentral:rRNA from 1 species